AUUGAACGCUGGCGGCAUGCCUUACACAUGCAAGUCGAACGGUAACGGGCCUUCUGGUUCCGCCGAGUGGCUAACGGGUGAGUAAUACAUCGGAACGUGCCCGAUCUUGGGGGAUAACGAGGCUAAAGCUUUGCUAAUACCGCAUACGAUCUACGGAUGAAAUCCGUGGACCGCAAUGCCUUGCUCGGACGGAGCGGCUGAUGGCAGAUCCGGUGGUUGGUGGGCUAAAAGCUUACCAAGCCGACGAACAGUGGCUGGUCUGAGAGGAUGAUUAGCAACACGGGGAUGGAGAAACGGCCCGGACUCUUAGGGGAGGAAGAAGUGGGGAAUUUUGGACAAUGGGGGCAAGCCGGAUCAAGCCAGGCGGCGGGCAGGAGGAAGGCCUUCGGGUGGUAAACUGCGUUUGUACGGAACGAAAAGCGUUCGUUUAAUACAGGAGGGUCAUGACGGUACCGUAAGAAUAAGCACCGGCUAACUACGUG
rnacentral:rRNA from 1 species